GACUAAUGAAAAUAUAACAACUUUUUAUGAGUAGUUGAUUAAGGAGACUAAUUCGUUAUUGGUGAUGUGAUAUCGAAAAUUGUGGGUUAAGUCGGCUAAAAUAAAUUUUGUACUAGGGUUAUUCCCGUGACUUGCGGGGGAAUGAUUGACUAGAGCUAAAGCGGCGGUCGAAACUUUUGCUAUUAAUUACUUUAGUCAAUCAUACUUGCUUUGCUAUUAAAAAAAAAAGUCGUAUAUUUGCUUUGAAGUUAGGCAUUAAGCAUGCAGUUCCGUUGGCUUAAGGUACAAACGUUUGAUCGAGUUAGGAAGUUGGAUGGAAUAUAUGCUUUUUAUGAAAUUGACUUCAUACUCUUUUAAUUUAAAUUUCUUAUUACUCUAUUUUAUUAUUCAAUAAAAAACAAAAUAAAAAACUAUUACAUUUGUUGGAACCCAAAUUGAGAUUCAAAUAUUAUUAUAAUUUGUGGCAUUACUCAACUUUGUGGAAUAUAACAAACAAUUUAGUUUCAUGCUUUUGAAGUAUUUUAACUAUUUCCAUGAUAAAUCUUGAUAUUUUCACUUUGUUAAAACUUUAUCUUCAUUGCUAAUAAAAUUUUAAGAAUAAAUAUGUAAAAUUAAAAGUUCUUAAUAUAUUAUGUUUAGAUACGAAAAAAAAUUUAUAUGUAUAUAUAAUUUUAGAUUUAUUUGAAUUUCAAUCAAAUUUAAAAUCUAUUAAAAUGGAAAAAAAAAACUAAUAUUAACGUAUGCAUUUUUAUUAAAGUGGGAGUGGCGGAGUGCCCCUACAUGAGAAUAAUUAUUCUUUUUUUUAAUUCAAGUUUUGUAUUAUCAAAACAUUAACACAUACAAGGUCGACCGAGAAGUAAUAUAUACACAACCUUUUAUAAGAAGAAUGAUGUGGCCCUAAAAUUCAUGUUGUAGAUAUUGUUGCCAGGUAAUUUAGGGCAGCAAAAAGAAGCUAUUGACUAAAGUGACAUAAUAUAAUUAUGAUCAUCAAUAUAAUAUGUAUCUAGGUAUAAUACAAGUGACAUAUGAUUUGCCAUUCAAGAAUAAGUUAAAAAAUUAUCAUAUUAAUAUAGAUGCGUAGUAAAAUCAAUCAUUUGGGUGGUGGUGAUGACUCUUCCCCAUAUUGAAGGGAAUAGUUCUAAUUCCCAUAUUAAAUU
rnacentral:lncRNA from 1 species